rnacentral:rRNA from 1 species
CGUGGGUAAUUUGCCGUGAAGUUUGGGAUAACUUGCUGAAAGGUGAGCUAAUACCAAAUGUGGUCCGAUGGAGGCAUCUUUUUUGGACUGAAGUUGGGGACCGAAAGGCCUGAUGCUUCACGAUAAGCCCGCGGCCUAUCAGCUAGUUGGUGAGGUAACGGCUCACCAAGGCUAAGACGGGUAGCUGGUCUGAGAGGACGACCAGCCACACUGGAACUGAGACACGGUCCAGACACCUACGGGUGGCAGCAGUCGAGAAUUUUUCACAAUGGGCGAAAGCCUGAUGGAGCGACGCCGCGUGGGGGAUGAAUGGCUUCGGCCCGUAAACCCCUGUCAUCUGGGAACAAUGGUUGUCUGUUAACACCAGGCAAUUUGAUAGUACCGGAAGAGGAAGGGACGGCUAACUCUGUGCCAGCAGCCGCGGUAAUACAGAGGUCCCAAGCGUUGUUCGGAUUCACUGGGCGUAAAGGGUGCGUAGGCGGUCGGGUAAGUCCGAUGUGAAAUCUCGCGGCUCAACCGCGAAACUGCAUUGGAUACUAUCUAGCUUGAGGGUUGGAGGGGGGACUGGAAUUCUCGGUGUAGCAGUGAAAUGCGUAGAUAUCGAGAGGAACACUGGUGGCGAAGGCGAGUCCCUGGACAACUCCUGACGCUGAGGCACGAAAGCUAGGGGAGCAAACAGGAUUAGAUACCCUGGUAGUCCUAGCCGUAAACUGUGCACAUUUGCUGUGAGCGGAUUCGACCCCGUUCGUGGCGAAGCUAACGCGUUAAAUGUGCCGCCUGGGAAGUGCGGUCGCAAGAUUAAAACUCAAAGAAGUUGACGGGGGCCUGCACAAGCGGUGGAGUAUGUGGCUUAAUCCGAUGCAACGCGAAGAACCUUACCUGGCCUUGACAUGU